GGCGGAAACCUGACGAAGCAACACCGCGUGAACGAUGACGGCCUUCUGGCUGUAAGAGUCUUUUCUGAGGGAAGAAUUCUGACGGUACCUCAGGAAUAAGCCCCGGCUAAUUCCGUGCCAGCAGCCGCGGUAAUACGUAAGGUGCAAGCGUUAUCCGGAAUGAUUGGGCGUAAAGCGGCCGCAGGCGGUUAAUUAAGUCGGAUGUUAAAUCUUGAGGCUCAACUUCGAGGUUGGUGUCUGAAACUGAUUUGCUAGAGACUUGCAAAAGGCUAGUGGAAUUCUGUCAU
rnacentral:rRNA from 1 species